UACGUAGGGUGCAAGCGUUGUCCGGAAUUUAUUGGGCGAAAGAGCUCGUAGGCGGUUUGUUGCGUCUAUCGUGAAAACCUGCAGCUUAACUGUGGGCUUGCGGUGGAUACGGGCAGACUUGAGUUCGGUAGGGGAGACUGGAAUUCCUGGUGUAGCGGUGAAAUGCGCAGAUAUCAGGAGGAACACCGGUGGCGAAGGCGGGUCUCUGGGCCGAAUACUGACGUGAGGAGCGAAAAGCGUGGGG
rnacentral:rRNA from 1 species